GUGGAUUGCCAAUCAAGGAUCACUUAAUGACAAAACAGAAUAAUUUAACCCCUAUUCAAAUGACAAUGCCCAGAAUUGCCCACGUAAAUGUCUUGACACAACAGAGAAAGACCAAGUUUUUCAGCCGAAUGAGGCAAAUAACAUUAACGAGCUAUUAUCCCGUAUCUCUUCCUCACCAGUUACAAAAGGCUGACCUCUGAACUUUGAACUUUCCCUUUGACUGAUCCCGACCGUUCUAACGGCGGUGUUAGCCACUUAAGGCUGCAGGUGUAGCCACUUACAGCUCCCAUAAAACGGGCAGGCUGCGAGGGAGGAGGAGCUCGAGCUCGCAGAAGGCGACCCACAGGAAUUAGCAAGGCUAUUCCAAAGGCUGCAUUCCCCAAGGCUUCCCAAAUCGAGCCCACAUCCCCGCUGAGGCUGCAGUGCCCAGCCCCGAGUGCCCCCAGCCAGGGCAGGGGACCGCAUCGCUCUGCUCGGGUCGAGGGCUCAUGGACGAGGUGACCUCAGGCAGCAGAUCACGAUGGCAAGGGAGCAGCGAUGGGCAGCACGUCUCUAAGUGCUCGCUGCUGACUGAGGAAGCGGGUACGCCUCCUGCAGACCUCCAGCUGGCCACCUGGCAUUUCAGGAGCCAUAGAGGAGCUACAGUUUGUGGAUACGUCGCUUUCUUUAAGCCACAGAGCGGGGGUUAUAGAGCUGGCAGACCGUACAAAGCCAUGCCUUUGGAAGCGCUCGAGAAGAUGACUUGAGCAAUGCAAUGCACAGUGUGCAACGUGGGUCCAGGGCAGCAAGGCACCGUGCUGCAGGUCCCACCCAAUCUGUGCUUUUAUGUUCACCAAAACCAAGUCAAGAUUCGUUUUAAUUAACGGAGGAAAAUGCACUUAUCUACUCCACGCAGCGUCCGGGUUUCAAGCAUUCGUUAUCUCCGGUGUGAAAUUUAGGCUGACAACAAUUAACGCUUCCCACGCUGCAGCGCUGCAUCGCUCCGGUGCCCGGUGGGAGCGGGGUGGGGGGGCUCUGGGAAUGGGGCUGCAGGAGCAGGGCCGGGCAGCAGCCGGUGCCGUCAGCUCGCUGCCUGCGCUCCCUCCUAACGAGAGCCGUGCCUAAAGGAGUGUACAGAGCACAGCUGUCCGGGCUCUGGGAUUUGGGUCUGUGUGACCAAUGCAGCAUCUGAGAGUUAAAUUAAUGGCCAAGAGUUUAAUUGUGAGUAAACAAUACCACAUUAAGGAGCAGUAAACACAGCAGUAGGCACUGAAAGGCUGAGUAUUCAAUCACAGAUGUGGCUGCUUUGGUGCUUCCAUUAAUAGCCUCCGUCUGUACCUUCUGACUGUGCUUUUGGCACCGUUGCUCAUUUAGAAGAGCAGUUUCCCCCUCCUGCUUCCACUUCACGUGCACAGCCUGCCCGAGCAGGCUCCCACCAUCACCACCGCACUGAACCCAACCCUGCUGCAUCCUUGGCACGCCAGGCCCCCAGCACGCACACAUAAAGAGGAGCAAAGGUGCAAGCAGAAGCUCCAGGGGCUUGAGCAGACAGUUUCAAGGGUUUGUUAAAUACUUGCAUUGCUUAAAAAAAAAAAAAAAAAAAGCCAUUUAUUUAUUUAAAAUUGUGCAUGUGACAUGUGCACACACCUGGGCAGCCUGGGUACAGACAAUUUGGGAACAAGGACUUGGCCAUUUAACCACAGCCUGAGCCUGCAGGACUCUCGAGCAACCAGCACUGGGUACUUUGUGCCUCAGCAUCCCCCUCAGCGACCCAGGAAGAGCCCUGACCCACAUGGCAGGACCUGUGGGCAUUAGCUGCAGGGCCUUUGAGGGUAAGGAGUGCACAACAGCUGGCUGGAAGUGCAUGAGGGGAGAUACCAAAUUCUUGUUCAUCAUUUUGUUUCUCUGGUUUCCCUUUACUCCCAUUCUCAUUGCUUAUUGAUUUUUGUUUCCAUCUGACAUAUGAGCGACAGUCUAUAUUAAGACAACAGCAGCUGAAGCAUCAGUAAAGUCAACAUCACUACAUCCCGUUCAGAAAUCUGCUGUUUGAUAUGUAGCCUUACCCCUCCAAGAAACACCCUAGGAAAAUGCAGCCACUUCCUAAGGGGGAAUAGUGCCAGGUGGG
ensembl:lncRNA